UACGUAGGGUGCAAGCGUUGUCCGGAAUUAUUGGGCGUAAAGAGCUCGUAGGCGGUUUGUCACGUCUGCUGUGAAAUUUCGAGGCUCAACCUCGAACUUGCAGUGGGUACGGGCAGGCUAGAGUGCGGUAGGGGAGAUGGGAAUUCCUGGUGUAGCGGUGGAAUGCGCAGAUAUCAGGAGGAACACCAAUGGCGAAGGCACAUCUCUGGGCCGUAACUGACGAUGAGGAGCGAAAGCGUGGGGAGCAAACAGG
rnacentral:rRNA from 1 species